AACGAACGCUGGCGGCAUGCCUAACACAUGCAAGUCGAACGAGCCUUUCGGGUCUAGUGGCGCACGGGUGCGUAACGCGUGGGAACAUGCUCUUAGGUUCGGAAUAAUUACCCGAAAGGGGUGCUAAUAACGGAUAAUGUCUUCGGAACAAAGAUUUUUUGCCUUUGGAUGGGCCCGCGUUCGUUUAGUUAGGUGGUUGGGUAAAAGCCCACCAAGGCGACGAUCCAUAGCUGGGAUGAGAGGAUGAUCCGCCACACUGGGAAUGAGACACGGCCCAGACUCCCAAGGGAGGCAGCAGUGGGGAAUAUUGGAAAAUGGGGGCAAAACUGAACCCGCCAUGCCGCGGGAGGGAUGAAGGGCUUAGGGUUGUAAAGCUCUUUUUUCCGGGAAGAUAAUGAAGGUAACGGGGGAAUAAGCCCCGGGUAAAUUCGUG
rnacentral:rRNA from 1 species